AUGAUGAACGCUAGCUACAGGCUUAACACAUGCAAGUCGAGGGGCAUCAGGAAGAAAGCUUGCUUUCUUUGCUGGCGACCGGCGCACGGGUGAGUAACACGUAUCCAACCUGCCCUUUACUCGGGGAUAGCCUUUCGAAAGAAAGAUUAAUACCCGAUGGCAUAAUGAUUCCGCAUGGUUUCAUUAUUAAAGGAUUCCGGUAAAGGAUGGGGAUGCGUUCCAUUAGGUUGUUGGUGAGGUAACGGCUCACCAAGCCUUCGAUGGAUAGGGGUUCUGAGAGGAAGGUCCCCCACAUUGGAACUGAGACACGGUCCAAACUCCUACGGGAGGCAGCAGUGAGGAAUAUUGGUCAAUGGGCGCUAGCCUGAACCAGCCAAGUAGCGUGAAGGAUGAAGGCUCUAUGGGUCGUAAACUUCUUUUAUAUAAGAAUAAAGUGCAGUAUGUAUACUGUUUUGUAUGUAUUAUAUGAAUAAGGAUCGGCUAACUCCGUGCCAGCAGCCGCGGUAAUACGGAGGAUCCGAGCGUUAUCCGGAUUUAUUGGGUUUAAAGGGAGCGUAGGUGGACUGGUAAGUCAGUUGUGAAAGUUUGCGGCUCAACCGUAAAAUUGCAGUUGAUACUGUCAGUCUUGAGUACAGUAGAGGUGGGCGGAAUUCGUGGUGUAGCGGUGAAAUGCUUAGAUAUCACGAAGAACUCCGAUUGCGAAGGCAGCUCACUGGACUGCAACUGACACUGAUGCUCGAAAGUGUGGGUAUCAAACGGGAUUAGAUACCCUGGUAGUCCACACAGUAAACGAUGAAUACUCGCUGUUUGCGAUAUACAGUAAGCGGCCAAGCGAAAGCAUUAAGUAUUCCACCUGGGGAGUACGCCGGCAACGGUGAAACUCAAAGGAAUUGACGGGGGCCCGCACAAGCGGAGGAACAUGUGGUUUAAUUCGAUGAUACGCGAGGAACCUUACCCGGGCUUAAAUUGCAGUGGAAUGAUGUGGAAACAUGUCAGUGAGCAAUCACCGCUGUGAAGGUGCUGCAUGGUUGUCGUCAGCUCGUGCCGUGAGGUGUCGGCUUAAGUGCCAUAACGAGCGCAACCCUUAUCUUUAGUUACUAACAGGUUAUGCUGAGGACUCUAGAGAGACUGCCGUCGUAAGAUGUGAGGAAGGUGGGGAUGACGUCAAAUCAGCACGGCCCUUACGUCCGGGGCUACACACGUGUUACAAUGGGGGGUACAGAGGGCAGCUAGCGGGUGACCGUAUGCUAAUCCCAAAAGCCUCUCUCAGUUCGGAUCGAAGUCUGCAACCCGACUUCGUGAAGCUGGAUUCGCUAGUAAUCGCGCAUCAGCCACGGCGCGGUGAAUACGUUCCCGGGCCUUGUACACACCGCCCGUCAAGCCAUGGGAGCCGGGGGUACCUGAAGUACGUAACCGCAAGGAUCGUCCUAGGGUAAAACUGGUG
rnacentral:rRNA from 1 species